rnacentral:rRNA from 1 species
CCUACGGGAGGCUGCAGUGAGGAAUAUUGGUCAAUGGACGAGAGUCUGAACCAGCCAAGUAGCGUGAAGGAUGACUGCCCUAUGGGUUGUAAACUUCUUUUAUAUGGGAAUAAAAUGUUCCACGUGUGGGAUUUUGUAUGUACCAUAUGAAUAAGGAUCGGCUAACUCCGUGCCAGCAGCCGCGGUAAUACGGAGGAUCCGAGCGUUAUUCGGAUUUAUUGGGUUUAAAGGGAGCGUAGGUGGAUUGUUAAGUCAGUUGUGAAAGUUUGCGGCUCAACCGUAAAAUUGCAGUUGAAACUGGCAGUCUUGAGUACAGUAGAGGUGGGCGGAAUUCGUGGUGUAGCGGUGAAAUGCUUAGAUAUCACGAAGAACUCCGAUUGUGAAGGCAGUUCACUGGACUGCAACUGACACUGAGGCUCGAAAGUGUGGGUAUCAAACAGGAUUAGAUACCCGAGUAGUC